UCACACCAAAUCGUGAACCAAAUGGGGACCUCUUUCGGAUUCACUAUCUAGAACAAGAAAGAAGAGGAUACAAGGUGUUAAUACACCAAAACAGCUAGCCAACAACAAGUUUAGCAAUACAAGAUGAAGCUCCACAAUAUUACAAUAGCAACAAGAACAAACGGGUUACAUUAACAAUACAAGAAGCCGAAACUAAAACAAGAUACAAGAUAGGUAGUUAGACAAGUAUUGAUGUAGUUUUAACAAUCCAAGAGCAUAUUCCACUCUUGGACCUUUAAAACUUCAUACAACAAACAUCUAACUCUUACAAUUGACACAAGAGAGGCGUCCACCACCCAAGCACCAACGUAUCAAGCAAAAUGCAACACACAAGAGAAUCCACCCUUAUGUUAUGCCCUAGUUUCAAUUGAACUCUCUCUCACUCUAAGAGAAGUAUUCUUCAAUAAUAAUGAUCAACUAAAGAAAUAAACCCUACAAUGUUCUAUUUAUAGUACAUUACAAUAAUAGAUAAAAUGACAAAAGGGCCCUUUAGUGACUAGUCUUCAAAAAUACUCAAAAGUGUCAUGAUCAUGAUCAUACUUGUAUCAUCCUCUCCAUCUUGAGAGGAAUUUUCCCACAAAUUCAUAACCUCACCUCUUUUUCAAAGGCACUUCACAAUCUCCUUCACACGACCACACAUCUUCUACAUCUUCCUCGCCUUGCAUUUUAACCUCUUUUUGCUCUGCAUCUUGAGGCUUGCCACCAACCUUAGCCGAUUCAAUUACUAAUUCUUCCCCAAGAUAGUACAAUUUUCCCUCCCUUAGGAUCACGUUCCUCCGGUUUGGGCACUCACUUGCCUUGUGCCCCCGCCCUUCGCAUUUGAAGCAUUGAAAUCCCUUGGGAUUGGAAGUAGAAUUCAAUUUACCUUCAUAACUUAGAGGAUGUUUUUGGACAACCUUGGUGGCCUUGGUUUGGGUAGCCACGAAUGAGUUAUCUUUGAGCUCCCUCUCAACCUCUAAAGCCGCAUGGAAGAUGCCAUCUAUGGUGUCGAAUUUUUGAAGCGUCAUGCGAGUGGAGAUGUCCUUGUUUAACCCAACCUUGAAGCGCACAAUGUCAUGACUUACUUGCUUACAUCGGUGGUCAAGUUUCAAUAUCAAUUGUUGAAAUUCAUCGUAGUAAGCCAUGACACUCUUGUUCCCUUGCCUCAAAUUGUACAAUUUAGCAAGGAGCUCAUGCCUAUAAGUCUCGGGCAAGUACCUUUGUCACAUAAGGUUCUUCAAUCGAAACCAAAGAGGAGGUUGUCCCCCAAUCAUAUCAUUCCCAAACCAUUUAACAUACUCCCACCAUGUAUUAGCAUACCCUUCGAAGUGAGCUAUAGCAUAACAACUUUUUUUUUCUUCGGUAAAAUCAUUAAGUUGGAAGAUCUUGUCACAAGAUGACUCCCAUACAAGGUAGGCUUCGGGAUCACUCUCACCUUUGAAAANNNNNNNNNNNNNNNNNNNNNNNNNNNNNNNNNNNNNNNNNNNNNNNNNNNNNNNNNNNNNNNNNNNNNNNNNNNNNNNNNNNNNNNNNNNNNNNNNNNNNNNNNNNNNNNNNNNNNNNNNNNNNNNNAUUCUUUCUUCCCUCAAGUAAACAUCAUCAUACGGGCCCAUAACCAUCAUGUUGUUCUCCCCUACCAUAGCCCUCAACAUGGAUGGGUCUAUUUGGGUUAAGUGGAGCUUGUAGUGGCGGGAUUGGAUUUGGAUAGUGAGGUCUUUGGUCAAGUGGAGUUUGGAUGGGAGGGUUCGGGUUUGGUGAUGGUAUUUGGGUUCCAAGACCUUCUUGUUGGACUUGGUGGAGUGGAGGAUGGAUUGGUCUAUCUUGUUCUCAGCUUCGAGAGUAAAGAUUGGUCUGAUUUAUGGUAAUUGGUGUAUAUUGCAUUUGGUGCAAGGUCUCGGGAGUAUUAGUUGGGGAAAUGUUUUGAGGGGUAGAAGGUCGACUCCUUUGGCUUUCCACACGUUCUAAUCUCCCACUCAUUGACGCCACAUCCGUAUUUAAUUUCUCAAGACCCACAUUAAACCUAGCCACAUCUCGGGAUAUAGUUUCAAGGCAAGCCAAAAUGAGAUUGAUGGCAUUAUUAUCCAUUGUUUGAGCAUUUGAAGCCUCAGGUUCCAUUGUGGUGGUAUCGAAAAUAACCCAUCAAGUUACGGUCUAAUCAAGAUACCAAAUCAGUCCGCAACGUCACACACAACAAUACAAAGCAAAACCUACAACACAAAACACAUGUUAAUUCAAAACAACCUCCCACAAUGAGAUCCGACCUUCAAGUUUCUUCAAACUCAAGCUCAACAUUGGUGGAUGACUCAAAUAACCUCCAAUUUAGCUCAAAUUCAAACCCUAUACUCCUAUAGUGUUAGAGAACACAAAUCUAACACUAAAAACACAAGAAAAAUGCAAAAUAAAAAACUCAAAAUUUGACCUAGGGUCAAAACGGAUUUAGUAUAUUUUUGGGGGAUUUUUUACUUUGACACUUCUUUUUUGUUGGGAUUUUCAAUUUCUAUGCUCUAAUAGUGUUAGGGAACAAGAUCUAACACUAGAACCACACAAAAAUUAAGUUUUUUGAAAGACCUUAAAAACGUGAACAGUAACUUUUUUUUUUUAAAAGAUAACAAUCCCAAGAUUGAUUUUAUUGGAACAAAAUCAAACCUUGCCCUGAUACCAAAUGAUACGGAACAAACAAGGGAAUACGAAAUCACACCCCAAAACAAUCGACAAAUCACAACAAAUCGUGGACCGAAUGGGGACCUCUCUCGGAUUCACUAGCUAGAACAAGAAAGAAAAGGAUACAAGGUGUUAAUAUACCAAAACAGCUAGCCAACAACAAGUUUAGAAACACAAUAUAAAGCUCCACAAUAUUACAAUAGCAACAAGAACAAACGGGUUACAUUAACAACACAAGAAGUCAAAACUAAAAUAAGAUACAAGAUAGGUAGUUAGACAAGUGUUGAUGUAGUCUUAACAACCCAAGAG
rnacentral:lncRNA from 1 species